rnacentral:rRNA from 1 species
UACGGGGGGAGCAAGCGUUGUUCGGAUUUACUGGGCGUAAAGGGCGCGUAGGCGGCGCAACAAGUCACUUGUGAAAUCUCCGGGCUUAACUCGGAAAGGUCAACUGAUACUGCGGGGCUAGAGUGCAGAAGGGGCAACUGGAAUUCUCGGUGUAGCGGUGAAAUGCGUAGAUAUCGAGAGGAACACCUGCGGCGAAGGCGGGUUGCUGGGCUGACACUGACGCUGAGGAGCGAAAGCGUGGGGAGCGAACAGG